CCUACGGGUGGCAGCAGUGGGGGAUAUUGCACAAUGGGGGAAACCCUGAUGCAGCGACGCCGCGUGUGGGAAGACGGUCCUCUGGAUUGUAAACCACUGUCCCCAGGGACGAAGAUGACGGUACCUGGGGAGGAAGCUCCGGCUAACUACGUGCCAGCAGCCGCGGUAAUACGUAGGGCGCGAGCGUUGUCCGGAAUUACUGGGUGGAAAGGGAGCGUAGGCGGGACUGCAAGUUGGGUGUCAAAUCUACCGGCUCAACCGGUAGCCGCACUCAACACUGCAGUUCUUGAGUGAAGUAGAGGCAGGCGGAAUUCCUAGUGUAGCGGUGAAAUGCGUAGAUAUUAGGAGGAACACCAGUGGCGAAGGCGGCCUGCUGGGCUUUUACUGACGCUGAGGCUCGAAAGUGUGGGGAGCAAACAGGAUUAGAUACCCGGGUAGUC
rnacentral:rRNA from 1 species